GUCCACGCUGUAACGAUGUCAACUAGAUGUAGGGUGUUGAUCCCUCUGUGUCGCAGCUAACGCAUUAAGUUGACCGCCUGGGAGUACGGUCGCAAGAUUAAACUACAAAGGAAUUGACGGGGCCCGGCACAAGCGGUGGAGUAUGUGGUUUAAUUCGAUGCAACGCGAAGAACCUUACCUGGUCUUGACAUCCCAGAAAUCCCUUGGAAACUUGGGAGUGCUUCCAUUAGGAAGAAUCUGGAGACAGGUGCUGCAUGGCUGUCGU
rnacentral:rRNA from 1 species